UAACAUUACCAGUUCAGAAUAAUUAAUUGGUCUUUAAGAGCAGAAAGUGUUUGGGUGAGUAAAGCCUAAACAAAUUGAGGGCUGAAAUGGAGGAUAUAAAGCCCAUAAAGGCACAGGCUAUGUAGCUGCAGAUCAAAGCACCUNNNNNNNNNUUGGUCGCAGAAUCUGGUGAACUUGUUGCACCACUUCAUCCACUGCAUGGCCUCAGCUCCUGUCACUACCAAAACUGAGUGCUCUAGUGCUGCUGAGGUUGC
rnacentral:misc_RNA from 1 species